GUCCACGCCGUAAACGUUGGGCACUAGGUGUGGGUUUCAACCAACGAAAUCCGCGCCGUCGCUAACGCAUUAAGUGCCCCGCCUGGGGAGUACGGCCGCAAGGUUAAAACUCAAAGGAAUUGACGGGGGCCCGCACAAGCAGCGGAGCGUGUUGCUUAAUUCGAUGCAACGCGAAGAACCUUACCUGGGGCUUGACAUGUACGGAAAAGCCGUAGAGAUACGGUGUCCUUCGGGGCCGUACACAGGUGGUGCAUGGCUGUCGU
rnacentral:rRNA from 1 species